GUGGGGCACAGAGUUGCAGUUGAUUGAAACUAAAUCAUGUGCGCUAAGUUGUCCCGAAAGUAUCUUUGGAUUUCUACAAAACAGUGUUCCUUCUUUAGGAUGCUGAUCCGUAGAGAUCUGAACAAAU
ensembl:snoRNA F25H5.9 ncRNA